AGUGCAUUGAUCAGCCACCAAUUUGCACAGAACUUCUGUGCAGCAUUUAGAGCUUCUGUUCUAUGGCUUCCCUUUGACUUCCUGUUCACUUUCUAGCAGCUAUGGUCCUCUUUAAAUUUGAUGCUUCAAGCCAGCAAGACUGUGAACUUUACAGCUAAGUUUUAGCCAGCCAUCCGGAAAUGUACUGGGAUCUAUUUUCAGGACGAGGAGACUGUGCACUAACUGAAGGAGAAGAAAGCAGUCAUCGUUUUCAUGUGCUCAAACCAAGUUUAUCGUACUCUCUACAUUUAAACCUCAUCGAAUAACUUAUUCAGGUUUAAGGGGAGUUUUCCCAGAGGCUACAUGAUAAUGUGAUAUUGCAGAUAUUGCAACAAUGCAGUUGGCAGAAGCAGAUAUGAAAAUCUAUCAUUCUUCCAUUAUGUCUAAGUUUGAAGAGGACCUCUGUACACCCUUAUUCUUCCAGACCCCUGAAAAGCAGGACCCAAACAUGACUCCACAGAUGAUCACCACAUUGUCACCACCUGGAAUGUUUUAUGGAGAAUUAGAUGUUCUUCAAAAAAUAUUGCGGGGACAGACUGCCAUGGCUGGACAGAGGGAUGAAAACAGCAAGUGUUCCAAUUAAACGAACAAAGAAAGUUCUAGAAGCCAUGCAUGUACUAAGAAGCCGUCUUAAUCAAAGGACUUUUCUAAUUGUGCAGCCAACCAAACAUGCUAAACCACUUACAGCAGUUUAUUGACAUUGGCGAGGAACAACAAUUUAGAAAAGCAAAUGACGCAAAUUGCAUAUUGUGGAGUUCUCGAGGUUUCUUCCCCCCUACCACCACCAACCAAGCUUUCUUUAGAAAACUUCUUUUUACAUUGAAAACAUGUCAAAAUUUGGGAAAGCAACAAGCGAUCAGAUUGGAGAUGAAAACACCUUCUUCUAGGUAGACCACAUAAAGAUUUGAACAAGGAAACAUGCCUGGGGCUCACAUACUGAAGAAAGGAGCACAGGAGCUCAGUGGAAGAUGGAGUUUGUGUUCCAGCACCUGCAACACAAUGGCAGCAGCUCUCAAAACAAGAGCCCAGAGUCUGCUGACAGCAUCAGCAGCCAAUCACAUCUGCACACACGAUAUGCAUUUGAGCCACAUUCUUAGUCACUAUCCAUUUCAUAUUCUGGUCCAGGAGGAUGCAAAUGAAAUUUGGAUUCACGGAGCUAACAUUACACGACAAGUUAGAUAUCAGUUUUCACAAGGGGAGGACAAGGGAAUGAGGUAGCUAAUGCCUACACUGGUUUGCCCUAAGAUUUUAGAUCCACAACUCAUCUGGUGGUCCUCGUGGAGUGUGGGUCAGUCCUAGCACUUCAUGUCUGUUAACUUGUUCAUCCUCAAGUCGUCUGUGCUAAUUCUGUAAUCGAAUCCUUCUUGGUUGGUAAGGAAAUCAAGGCAGGAGGAUCUUAAUCGACCUCCUUCACCUUCCAGGCUCAACAAUGGGGUUGGGAAGGAUGGAAGUCGGGAAGCACAGCCUGCUUGAACACACCCUCAUGUAUGAGGAGGAAGACACCCAGUUCUUGCCCUUUUAACUUAAUGGCGAUAUCAUUACACACACACACAAACACACACACACACAUACAGUCAUGCAUCAUUACGCUUCAUAAUUGCCCCAAGGAUUUGGGUAGUUUUAGACUAAAAAGUAAAUCAAUGAAAUGGUUACCAAGAGCUGGGAGCUGGGCAUACUGGAGAAUGAUGGUUUAAUGCGUGCAGAGUUUCAGCUGCGGGAGAUGAAAACAUUCUGGAGAUGGAAGAGGGUGAUGGUUGCAUGGUGAUGUAACUGUACUCAAUGCCCAAUGCAAAUGUCAUGUAUCUAUUUUAUCAUAAUUUUUAAAACUAGGAGCCAAAGAAGGUAAGUUGCAUUACGGUCAUCCAACCCAAAGUGUCAAAUGGAUUAAGGCUGAGAAAGCCCAGUUACAGGAGGGCUAGCGGGAGAGUGAGUGUCUUCUACUACAUUGUGUAUUGACCAGGUUGGUUUUAUUUUAAUAUCUUGAUCCUGAUGUUUAUUGUCUGGUCUUUUCCCGGAGAGAAUACAUGGCAGAGGUUUAAGUUCCUGGGAAAUUCAGAAGCUAUAAAGCAAGAGGGUUUAUUUCUGUUACAUUCUGAGUUUCCAUGGCUUAGGCUAGAGUUUUCAGUGAAAAAAAUGAUGGUCAUUGUCCAAAGUGGUUUCCAGGCUGAAGUGGCCCUGUCAUCCCUCCGUGUUUUUAAGGGGAAGAAUGAUAUAUGCCCAAUAUUAUCUCUGCUAAAUCAUUCAGAACUACAAAACAACUUCAAGUGAGAACAGAUUUUCAGAUUUAAAAGAUAAUUCUCUGCCCACUGAUGUGUAAGAUGGAAAAAGAGGACAAAAAAAAUCUUGGAAAGAACUUAAGACUUAAAAUUAAGGCAACCGGGCCUUGUGUUCAUAAGGAUCUCAUCUCUCAAUGAAUCAGAACCUUCCUUGUGAAGGUCAAGAUCUUCAUACCCACUGAGAUAAAUAAGCUAUUACAUUAUUUUUCAGAAUGUCUGUUAGAAAUGUAAGUCCACAUACCUGCUGGGUUUAAAAAAAAAAGAGUCCAGUCUUAAAAAUGGAAAAUAAAAUUUAAUACCAUGUUAUUACUUACAGUUGUCAUUGGCGAAGCUUCUAGCAGCCUUCUGCAUUUGCAAGCACCACCCAGGGUUGUUUUUGUUUCAAAAUGGAUUUUUCCCCUCAAGAUUUUUAUGAAGAUUUCUAAGUGGAAUCGCAUGCAGUCCUGCGAAGGGCAAAUUUAAUUCUUUUUACUUACAGUUUAAUUUUUUUUAAUUCUAAUCUUAUGAUUUUUUCCAGAAAUAAGAAAGGUACGUGUAGUGUGAAAUUGGCAGUGCGUUAAAGGAUUUAACUGUCCAUAUCUGUAUGGCCCUGUGUCUGGCGGUCUUAUCCAAAUCUUUCACCCCAAUAGACCCACUGUGAAUAUACCUUUUAGAACUAAAGCUUUAGCUAAAAGAUCUUUUUUAAUAUUCAAACUUUUAUUCUGUAAAAUUGUUGAUGAUGAUCAUAGGAAAGAGUACAAUAAAAAGAGUUUGUGUCACAUUUUUUGAAAAGGCUAUUUCUAGAAGCCUCCGUGAGCUUCCCCUUCAUGUAUCCAUUCAACAAAUCCAUAUUGAGUAACAUCUGUACACUGCUUUAAGCAAUGGAAAUCCAGGAGUGAACCAAAUGAGAUUCAGUCCUAUCUUUGUGAAAUGAAUUUUUUAGUACCACCACCAACAAAUUGUUAAACUGUGGAUUAUUUAAUUAGCAUUGCAGGUGCUUCAAAGAGAACCAGAGAUCCCAUGACAGUUUAACUGGACAUUAAACUUGGAGAAAGGGUUGUUGGGAUUCAGUACUACCCGUAGCCCCAGGCAAAAGCCCCGGGUCCUGAAGUUUGAAGGAAUCCACUCUCCUAAUUCUAGACCACACCCAGGUUUCCCUGACCCUUCCAUUUCUGUACAAAGCCCCUCUCUGAGCCUUACUCAGACCUUUUUUUCUGGGCCUGUCAUAUCCCAAGGGGGACCAUCGGCAAGGAUGUAUAUUCCUAGGCUUCAGGGUGGUAACCAAGAGGGUCUGCUGGCAAAGCAUGGGUGUGCAUGGGGACUCCGAGGUACACACUGGGAGAUGCACAAGUCUCCCCUUAUACCAAGCGAAAGGGAACCAAACAAGAGAAAGAAGGGAGUUGGGGGCAUUGGUCACUAGCCAGGGGCCAGGAACCCCCUCAUUCUUAUACGACAAUAUUCUUCUGUGGAAUCUGCAAAGGCUGAAUUAUCUCUAUAAGAUCUGAGCCUUCAACUAUACUCUUGCUUUGAGCCCUGGUUGGGGUGGAUCUGUCUGACCUGAGUUUUGCAGCAUGAGUUGGAAUUGACUGAUCAAGAGAAAGAAAUGAUGUUUUGUGUCUGAGAAAUAAAAUAAUUUGAAAUAUUUCUCACUGGAGCUUGACUGAGAGUUAUCUGGGGCAACAGAGGAAAGGCCUGCUCUGGGUGACACCCUGGGAAAGGGAUGUGUUAUGUGCCCAUAAAUGAAAGCUCUCUGUAGGAUAUUUUUGAUGAGGUAUAAAAAAAUAUACCCACAAUGGCACAUGUCUGUAAUCCCAGCUAGCUGGGAGGCUGAUCCAGGAGGAUUGCAAGGUUGAGGCCAGGCUUAACAAUUUAGAGAAGACCCUUAGC